rnacentral:tRNA from 1 species
GCCGAAGUAGCUCAGUUGGUAGAGCAAUUGAUUCGUAAUCAAUAGGUCGCGAGUUCGACUCUCGCCUUCGGCU